CUGUGCCUUGAGUAGUACCACAUGCCAUUUCAUCUACACCUA
rnacentral:antisense_RNA from 1 species